CAAACCUCACGAGCUAAUUUGGGUCACGUCUAAAGGCCGACCCGGAAGCAGAACCUUAGGAGGGGGGUUGAGAAGUGCUCCAAAGAAUGGCAGUGUCGCCCUCACCCUGGGCGUGACGCACAGCUGUGGUGACUGAGGGGUGGAGCUGCCGCACCGCUGGUCCUCAGGUGACCCAAUGACUGUCCUUAGAAAAGGUGACAAAAGGAAUCGCGCCCUGCUGGGCCUGUCUGCGCGGAGUGCACACGCGUCCCCCGUGUCUGCGUGCAUUUACUGCGGGUCCUCGGCUUUCCCGCCACAUCCACACCGCAGGCCUCUAAGGCAAAGUAUUGUCCCUCUGUGAGUGUGGGUGUGGGCGGCCCUGAUGGGUGGGAGCUGUCAGGAUGGACUGGCUGCCCGGGGCCCUGAACUGGAAUCUGCUGGUUGGAAAAUAAUGCUAUUACCCCGGCUGGUGCGGCUCAGCCAACUGAGCGCCUGCCUGAGAACCACCGGGUCUCCAGUUCGACUCCCAGUCAGGGCACGUGCCUGGGUUGCAGGCCAGGUCCUGGGUUGGAGACAUGCAAGAGGCAACCACACUUGGAUGUUUCGCUUCCCCUCUCCCUCCCUUUUUCUGAAAAUAAAUAAAACUUAAAAAAAAAUGA